AACGAACGCUGGCGGCAGGCUUAACACAUGCAAGUCGAGCGCCCCGCAAGGGGAGCGGCAGACGGGUGAGUAACGCGUGGGAACCUACCCUUUUCUACGGAAUAACGCAUGGAAACGUGUGCUAAUACCGUAUACGCCCUACGGGGGAAAGAUUUAUCGGAGAAGGCAGGGCCCGCGUUGGAUUAGCUAGUUGGUGGGGUAAAGGCCUACCAAGGCGACGAUCCAUAGCUGGUCUGAGAGGAUGAUCAGCCACAUUGGGACUGAGACACGGCCCAAACUCCUACGGGAGGCAGCAGUGGGGAAUAUUGGACAAUGGGCGCAAGCCUGAUCCAGCCAUGCCGCGUGAGUGAUGAAGGCCCUAGGGUUGUAAAGCUCUUUCACCGGAGAAGAUAAUGACGGUAUCCGGAGAAGAAGCCCCGGCUAACUUCGUGCCAGCCGCCGCGGUAA
rnacentral:rRNA from 1 species